UGGAGGGGAGCGGCAGACGGGAGAGUAACACGUGGGAACGUACCCUUUGGUUCGGAACAACCCAGGGAAACUUGGGCUAAUACCGGAUAAGCCCUCACGGGGAAAGAUUCAUCGCCGAAGGAUCGGCCCGCGUCUGAUUAGCUAGUUGGUGGGGUAAUGGCCCACCAAGGCGACGAUCAGUAGCUGGUCUGAGAGGAUGAUCAGCCUCACUGGGACUGAGACACGGCCCAGACUCCUACGGGAGGCAGCAGUGGGGAAUAUUGGACAAUGGGCGCAAGCCUGAUCCAGCCAUGCCGCGUGGGUGAUGAAGGCCCUAGGGUUGUAAAGCCCUUUCGGCGGGGAAGAUAAUGACGGUACCCGCAGAAGAAGCCCCGGCUAACUUCGUGCCAGCAGCCGCGGUAAUACGAAGGGGGCUAGCGUUGCUCGGAAUCACUGGGCGU
rnacentral:rRNA from 1 species